GCAUUCCCGUCCCCUGCGCCUGCGCAUUGAGUCGGUGUUAAUUUUGUUGAUAUGUCUGCCGCUGGGCUUUAAUAAUAAUUUCUGCAGGUUUUGGUGUCUCAGAGAGUGUCCCGCUCCGCGACCCGGCCUGAUGGAGAACCCCAGAGACCUGGUGGAGCGUCCGUCCAGGAAACGCCGGGACUCUUUCGGGAUGCUGGACGGCCUGGAGGAGGACCGGAGCAGCUGCAGCACCGAGUCAAGCGGUGGGAGCGGAGCAUCCAGCCCCGAGGACAGCGAGGAAGAAGAGUUAGGAGGAGGAGGAGGGGUGACUCAACUUACACCCACCUCCUCAUCCUUAACGCUCAUAAAGACCAACG
ensembl:lncRNA